rnacentral:rRNA from 1 species
UACGUAGGGGGCAAGCGUUGUCCGGAUUUAUUGGGCGUAAAGAGCGUGUAGGCGGCUUUGCAGGUCCGCUGUGAAAACUCGAGGCUCAACCUCGAGCUGUCGGUGGAAACCGUAAAGCUAGAGUCCGGAAGAGGAGAGUGGAAUUCCCGGUGUAGCGGUGAAAUGCGCAGAUAUCGGGAAGAACACCCGUGGCGAAGGCGGCUCUCUGGGACGGUACUGACGCUGAGACGCGAAAAGCGUGGGGAGCGAACAGG